rnacentral:tRNA from 2 species
AGAGCCGUCGCCAAGCGGUAAGGCAAGAGGUUUUGAUCCUCUCAUUCGUGGGUUCGAGUCCCGCCGGCUCUG